rnacentral:rRNA from 1 species
GGUAGAGGGGGCAACCCCUUGAGAGUGGCGAACGGGUGAGUAAUAUAUCGGAACGUGCCCAGUCGUGGGGGAUAACGUAGCGAAAGUUACGCUAAUACCGCAUACGAUCUAUGGAUGAAAGCGGGGGAUCGCAAGACCUCGCGCGACUGGAGCGGCCGAUAUCAGAUUAGGUAGUUGGUAGGGUAAAGGCCUACCAAGCCAACGAUCUGUAGCUGGUCUGAGAGGACGACCAGCCACACUGGAACUGAGACACGGUCCAGACUCCUACGGGAGGCAGCAGUGGGGAAUUUUGGACAAUGGGCGAAAGCCUGAUCCAGCCAUUCCGCGUGCAGGAUGAAGGCCCUCGGGUUGUAAACUGCUUUUGUACAGAACGAAAAGGUUUCUAUUAAUACUAGGAGCUCAUGACGGUACUGUAAGAAUAAGCACCGGCUAACUACGUGCCAGCAGCCGCGGUAAUACGUAGGGUGCAAGCGUUAAUCGGAAUUACUGGGCGUAAAGCGUGCGCAGGCGGUUAUAUAAGUCAGAUGUGAAAUCCCCGGGCUCAACCUGGGAACUGCAUUUGAGACUGUAUAGCUAGAGUACGGUAGAGGGGGAUGGAAUUCCGCGUGUAGCAGUGAAAUGCGUAGAUAUGCGGAGGAACACCGAUGGCGAAGGCAAUCCCCUGGACCUGUACUGACGCUCAUGCACGAAAGCGUGGGGAGCAAACAGGAUUAGAUACCCUGGUAGUCCACGCCCUAAACGAUGUCAACUGGUUGUUGGGUCUUAACUGACUCAGUAACGAAGCUAACGCGUGAAGUGACCGCCCUGGGA